GUUCAACCAAUGACAUUCCCAGCCUGGCUGCUGUCACAAUAGAAAGAGCAUUACUGUGUAGGUGCUGGAAUAGAAAAGGUUUAUAACAGUAGGAUCUCUCUCUGCAGCAUCUGAGCCCAGAAAACAGAGCCACAAGUGGGGAAGGGUCUCCAUCCCACUGGGGUCCCCUUAUCUUAGAGUGAAUUCAGCAUAUACCCUGGGCUCCAUUGAGUUAGAGGGGGGGAAGGUUCUGAACCCCAUGCUUGAGAUUCUUGGGGUUCAACUGGGUGGACUUUCCUCCAGGGGGUUCCCAGAUGGCUCAGAACUGGGGAACAAGAAGGCAAUGAAAAUGGAUGGGGAGUGUCUGAGAGGCAAUUCUAGUGGAAUGUGUGUCCAAGAAAUAUUUUUCUCUGAGGUUUUUGCCUAUCCAACUGAAGGUACCUUACAUUUAUCCACUGCUAUGAGAAUACUCAGGGUUAUUCAACUUCUCCCUCCUUCACGGUAAUACAGGAAGAUGAAACAGUCACCUGCUUAAAUCCACUCUACCAGGUGUCAUAUCGACCAUAAUGAUUGCACUUUCCCAAGGACUGUCUCAGCACUUUCCCAAGGACCCAUCUCAGAGAAAUGCUUUCAUUCUUUGUGAUCUGUAGUUUUAAACGCUGUUAGCAGCAUGCAACAAACUGUAUUUACAGACCUCAC
rnacentral:lncRNA from 1 species